UUCUUCGGAUGAUUCUUAACUGACUGAGCGGCGGACGGGUGAGUAACGCGUGGGUGACCUGCCCCAUACCGGGGGAUAACAGCUGGAAACGGCUGCUAAUACCGCAUAAGCGCACGGUACUGCAUGGUACAGUGUGAAAAACUCCGGUGGUAUGAGAUGGACCCGCGUUGGAUUAGCUAGUUGGCAGGGUAACGGCCUACCAAGCUGACGAUCAGUAGCCGGACUGAGAGGUUGAUCGGCCACAUUGGGACUGAGACACGGCCCAGACUCC
rnacentral:rRNA from 1 species